rnacentral:rRNA from 1 species
GGGUAGAGUAAUGCGUGACCAACCUGCCCAUGCUCCAGAAUAGCUCUUGGAAACGGGUGGUAAUGCUGGAUGCUCCAACUUGACGCAUGUCUUGUUGGGAAAGUGUUUAGUGGCAUGGGAUGGGGUCGCGUCCUAUCAGCUUGUAGGCGGGGUAAUGGCCCACCUAGGCUUCGACGGGUAGCCGGCCUGAGAGGGCGGACGGCCACAUUGGGACUGAGAUACGGCCCAGACUCCUACGGGAGGCAGCAGUC